rnacentral:lncRNA from 1 species
AGAAUUUCAACCUCUUUGUACCCUAUUUUGAUUUGGAAGAUUUUGUGGACGUGGGGCCUGUGCCCUUGGCUGUUGAUAAACGGGUGCCAUAGGUGUUUGUUGGUAUACUGGUGCUUGUUGAACAGGUUGAUAGACAAGAGCUUGUGUUUGAUUGAAAGCUGGUGUGACUGCUGCCCCAUAUGGUUGUUGAAUAUACUGCACCGGGUAAGUUGGUUAUUGUUGAGCAAAUUGUUGUUGUUGCUUCUUCCACGAGUGACUCCUUCUAUGACUGGUUG